GAUGAACGCUAGCGGGAGGCUUAACACAUGCAAGUCGAGGGGCAGCAUAGGGUAGCAAUACUCUGAUGGCGACCGGCAAACGGGUGAGUAACGCGUAUGCAACCUACCCUGUACAGGGGGAUAACCCGGAGAAAUUCGGACUAAUAUCCCGUAAUAAUAUCCGGAGGCAUCUUUGGAUAUUUAAAGUUCCGACGGUACGGGAUGGGCAUGCGUAACAUUAGCUGGUUGGUAAGGUAACGGCUUACCAAGGCUAUGAUGUUUAGGGGUCCUGAGAGGGUGGUCCCCCACACUGGUACUGAGACACGGACCAGACUCCUACGGAAGGCAGCAGUGAGGAAUAUUGGUCAAUGGGCGCAAGCCUGAACCAGCCAUCCCGCGUGCAGGAAGACGGCCCUAUGGGUUGUAAACUGCUUUUCCAGGGAGAGAAACUUACGCACGUGUUGCGUGACUGACGGUACCCUGGGAAUAAGCAUCGGCUAACUCCGUG
rnacentral:rRNA from 1 species